rnacentral:tRNA from 2 species
ACGGAUGUGAUGAAAAUGGUAGACAUGUUAAAUUUAGAAUUUAAUGACUUAUUGUAUCGUGAAGGUUCAAAUCCUUUCGUCCGUA